rfam:Penicillium roqueforti FM164 genomic scaffold, ProqFM164S07
GCUCGCAUGGCUUAGUGGUAAAGCGCAUGACUAGUAUGAAAAGCUAUCAUGAGAUCCUCGGUUCGACUCCGAGUGUGAGCA